GAUGAACGCUGGCGGCGUGCCUAAUACAUGCAAGUCGAGCGAACAGAUACGGAGCUUGCUCCUUUGACGUUAGCGGCGGACGGGUGAGUAACACGUGGGUAACCUACCUAUAAGACUGGAAUAACUCCGGGAAACCGGGGCUAAUGCCGGAUAACAUUUAGAACCGCAUGGUUCUAAUGUGAAAGAUGGCUUUGCUAUCACUUAUAGAUGGACCCGCGCCGUAUUAGCUAGUUGGUAAGGUAACGGCUUACCACGGCAACGAUACGUAGCCGACCUGAGAGGGGGAUCGGCCACACUGGAACUGAAACACGGUCCAGACGCCUACGGGAGGAAGCAGUAGGGAAUCGUCCGCAAUGGGCGAAAGCCUGACGGAGCAACGCCGAGUGAGUGAUGAAGGUCUUCGGAGCGGAAAACUCUGUUAUUAGGGAAGAACAAAUGUGUAAGUAACUGUGCACGUCUUGACGGUACCUAAUCAGAAAGCCACGGCUAACUACGUG
rnacentral:rRNA from 1 species